rnacentral:lncRNA from 1 species
CUAUGGGAACUGCUGUUUACAAGCAAUGGAAUUAAACCAUUAGUAGGUAGUUAAUAUGGUCAAACCUGGGUUCUCUAUGAUUAAGGAAUUGAAGUCCAUCAGCAGAUUAAGGAAUUAAAGUCCACCAGCAGUUCGCACGCAAUGAUGCAUUCAAAGCUCUUAGAUUCUUGUCACCUACGGUACAAAGUUUCCAAUCAUGAAUCAUCAGUUGCCAUAAUUCCAUUUCAGCUGAAGCAGCACAUCGCUUUUUUAUAGCAUGCUCAUAGAUCACUAAUUGGUAAAUUCAACAAGUUUGAUUCUCCUGAAAAAUUCAAGGCAUUGACCCGUACCUGUUGAUGCGUGCCUUCUCAUGCCAUUUACAAGUGCAGAUAUAUCUGACAAGCACCGACCGCAAAUGAAAAUAUAGCAGCAAGCACUGGCGUCCUCAGUGCCGAAGUGAGCGCAGCUCAGAGAAGACUCAGCCGGGAUAUAUGAGCGGGUGGAGACGACUAAGCAGAGGGAUGUGAGUGCUAGUGGCCGAUUCGUCAUCUCGAGUGCCAAGCGGGCGAGGGCGGAUCUGAGAGAGGUGCACCCAGGCUGCUGCCGCUAAGUAUAGCAGGGCCCAUGCCAGUGUACCAACCGCCGUCGCUGACACAGGGGGAGGAAGAGGCGAGGGAGAGGCAUCCGCCGUUUCGCGUCUCCACAUCCGCGUCUCGGCUGCAGCGGCAACAACACUUGGCUGCGGCGGCGGCUCCAGUGACGGUGGCUCUAGCAACGGUGGCUGCAGCGACGGCGGCUUCGGUGGACGGAGGGAGUCCCGGUAGGGGAGGGUAGCAGAGCCGAGCGGCGGUCUGGCGGCGCGUAUGGGAUGGCGGCGGCGGCACGGAGGAAGUCAUGGAGCCGGCG